UGGGGAAUUUUGGACAAUGGGCGAAAGCCUGAUCCAGCAAUGCCGCGUGUGUGAAGAAGGCCUUCGGGUUGUAAAGCACUUUUGUCCGGAAAGAAAUCCUUGGCUCUAAUACAGUCGGGGGAUGACGGUACCGGAAGAAUAAGCACCGGCUAACUACGUGCCAGCAGCCGCGGUAAUACGUAGGGUGCAAGCGUUAAUCGGAAUUACUGGGCGUAAAGCGUGCGCAGGCGGUUUGCUAAGACCGAUGUGAAAAUCCCCGGGCUCAACCUGGGAACUGCAUUGGUGACUGGCAGGCUAGAGUAUGGCAGAGGGGGGUAGAAUUCCACGUGUAGCAGUGAAAAUGCGUAGAGAUGUGGAGGAAUACCGAUGGCGAAGGCAGCCCCCUGGGCCAAAUACUGACGCUCAUGCACGAAAAGCGUGGGGAGCAAAACAGGAUUAGAUACCCUGGUAGUCCACGCCCUAAAACGAUGUCAACUAGUUGUUGGGGAUUCAUUUCCUUAGUAAACGUAGCUAACGCGUGAAGUUGACCGCCUGGGGAGUACGGUCGCAAAGAUUAAAAACUCAAAUGAAUUGACGGGGUCAUAGCUGUUUCCU
rnacentral:rRNA from 1 species